rnacentral:rRNA from 1 species
GGGUUGUGAGGUUAAGCGACUAAGCGUACACGGUGGAUGCCCUGGCAGUCAGAGGCGAUGAAGGGCGUGCUAAUCUGCGAUAAGCGCCGGUAAGGUGAUAUGAACCGUUAUAACCGGCGAUACCCGAAUGGGGAAACCCAGUGUGACUCGUCACACUAUCAUUAACUGAAUCCAUAGGUUAAUGAGGCGAACCGGGGGAACUGAAACAUCUAAGUACCCCGAGGAAAAGAAAUCAACCGAGAUUCCCCCAGUAGCGGCGAGCGAACGGGGAGGAGCCCAGAGCCUGAAUCAGCAUGUGUGUUAGUGGAAGCGUCUGGAAAGGCGCGCGAUACAGGGUGACAGCCCCGUACACAAAAGCGCAUGUGCUGUGAGCUCGAUGAGUAGGGCGGGACACGUGGUAUCCUGUCUGAAUAUGGGGGGACCAUCCUCCAAGGCUAAAUACUCCUGACUGACCGAUAGUGAACCAGUACCGUGAGGGAAAGGCGAAAAGAACCCCGGCGAGGGGAGUGAAAAAGAACCUGAAACCGUGUACGUACAAGCAGUGGGAGCACAGGUUUACCUGUGUGACUGCGUACCUUUUGUAUAAUGGGUCAGCGACUUAUAUUCUGUAGCAAGGUUAACCGAAUAGGGGAGCCGGAGGGAAACCGAGUCUUAAUUGGGCGUUAAGUUGCAGGGUAUAGACCCGAAACCCGGUGAUCUAGCCAUGGGCAGGUUGAAGGUUGGGUAACACUAACUGGAGGACCGAACCGACUAAUGUUGAAAAAUUAGCGGAUGACCUGUGGCUGGGGGUGAAAGGCCAAUCAAACCGGGAGAUAGCUGGUUCUCCCCGAAAGCUAUUUAGGUAGCGCCUCGUGAAUUCAUCUCCGGGGGUAGAGCACUGUUUCGGCUAGGGGGCCAUCCCGGCUUACCAACCCGAUGCAAACUGCGAAUACCGGAGAAUGUUAUCACGGGAGACACACGGCGGGUGCUAACGUCCGUCGUGAAGAGGGAAACAACCCAGACCGCCAGCUAAGGUCCCAAAGUCAUGGUUAAGUGGGAAACGAUGUGGGAAGGCCCAGACAGCCAGGAUGUUGGCUUAGAAGCAGCCAUCAUUUAAAGAAAGCGUAAUAGCUCACUGGUCGAGUCGGCCUGCGCGGAAGAUGUAACGGGGCUAAACCAUGCACCGAAGCUGCGGCAGCGACACUGUGUGUUGUUGGGUAGGGGAGCGUUCUGUAAGCCUGUGAAGGUGGCCUGUGAGGGUUGCUGGAGGUAUCAGAAGUGCGAAUGCUGACAUAAGUAACGAUAAAGCGGGUGAAAAGCCCGCUCGCCGGAAGACCAAGGGUUCCUGUCCAACGUUAAUCGGGGCAGGGUGAGUCGACCCCUAAGGCGAGGCCGAAAGGCGUAGUCGAUGGGAAACAGGUUAAUAUUCCUGUACUUGGUGUUACUGCGAAGGGGGGACGGAGAAGGCUAUGUUGGCCGGGCGACGGUUGUCCCGGUUUAAGCGUGUAGGCUGGUUUUCCAGGC